rnacentral:rRNA from 1 species
GAUGAACGCUGGCGGCGUGCCUAAUACAUGCAAGUCGAGCGAACGGACGAGAAGCGUGCUUCUCUGAUGUUAGCGGCGGACGGGCGAGUAACACGUGGAUAACCUACCUAUAAGACUGGGAUAAUUUCGGGGAACCGGAGCUACUACUGGAUAAUAUUUUGAACCGCAGGGUGCAAAAGUGAAAGACGGUCUGGCUGUCACUUAUAGAUGGAUCCGGGUUGCAUUAGCUAGUUGGUAAGGUAACGGCUUACCAAGGCAACGAUGCAUAGCCGACCUGAGAGGGUGAUCAGCCACACUGGAACUGAGACACGGUCCAGACUCCUACGGGAGGCAGCAGUAGGGAAUCUUCCACAAUGGGCGAAAGCCUGACGGAGCAACGCCGCGUGAGUGAUGAAGGUCUUCGGAUCGUAAAACUCUGUUAUUAGGGAAGAACAUAAGUGUAAGUAUCUCUGCACAUCUUGACGGUACCUAAUCAGAAAGCCACGGCUAACUUCGUG